AGUGAACGCUGGCGGUAGGCCUAACACAUGCAAGUCGAACGGCAGCACAGUAAGGGCUUGCUCUUACGGGUGGCGAGUGGCGGACGGGUGAGGAAUACAUCGGAAUCUACUUUUUCGUGGGGGAUAACGUAGGGAAACUUACGCUAAUACCGCAUACGACCUACGGGUGAAAGCAGGGGAUCUUCGGACCUUGCGCGAUUGAAUGAGCCGAUGUCGGAUUAGCUAGUUGGCGGGGUAAAGGCCCACCAAGGCGACGAUCCGUAGCUGGUCUGAGAGGAUGAACAGCCACACUGGAACUGAGACACGGUCCAGACUCCUACGGGAGGCAGCAGUGGGGAAUAUUGGACAAUGGGCGAAAGCCUGAUCCAGCCAUACCGCGUGGGUGAAGAAGGCCUUAGGGUUGUAAAGCCCUUUUGUUGGGAAAGAAAAGCAGCAGGUUAAUACCCCGCUGUUCUGACGGUACCCAAAGAAUAAGCACCGGCUAACUUCGUG
rnacentral:rRNA from 1 species